rnacentral:lncRNA from 1 species
AUUGACUCGCAUACUAUAAAAACCGCUUCCGGUGUUUUCUUCCUCGCAUCUUGCUCUGCCACGUCGAAUUUACAACAAACUUUAUUGAAAUGCCUGAGAAACUGACGUCUGUUUUGUCGAAAUUCUAUGAUGAAUACGUCAACAAUACACCAAAGCGUUUGAAACUUGUAGAUGCAUACUUAUUAUACAUAGUAUUGACAGGUGUUUUCCAGUUUAUUUACUGUGCACUUGUUGGAACUUUCCCUUUCAACUCCUUUUUGUCAGGAUUCAUCUCCAGUGUAGGAUCAUUUGUUCUUGCAGGU